rnacentral:lncRNA from 10 species
UCUCCUGUUUUGUUAGUCUUGAUAGAGGUUGGAGCACUUACUCAGAAGCUCUGGCGUAUAGGAAGCUCCCAGCACAGGGAACUUUAGAAAACUCAUAAAUGCAGGUCUCCAGAUGCCAGAAGAUUAAACAAAUGCCAGCUUCACAAGGCCAUGCUUUUCCAGCAGAAGAGAGAUGCAAUGUAAACAAAAAACUUGUAGGUAAAAAUAAAAUUUUGGAACAGAAAGAGGACACAAAAUAAGGAUUUAAGGCUGACAGAAUGGGAGGAGAAAAAAACAAGAAUUCAAUAUACCAACCAAGCAAAAAGGCUGCAGAGAAAGAAGUGAGUCCUUUGCUUCCUGAUUCAAGGGGUCCAGUGACAGAGCAUUCAAUCCAGUCUAACAAAUAUUUAUUAAUGCUGAGGUGGAACUUGAGAAAGUGGGUGGGAGAGGAAGGUGGAAUUGGGAGUGGAUUUUGACUGUGGGAAUGGGAGGUUGGGGAAAGAAACAUUAUUUACAUUGUGCCAAUUUUUCUAUAUAUUUAAUGCUAGUGAGGACUUACAGCAAAACUUUGAGACAGGCAAUGUUAUCCUUCAUUUAGUAGGUAAGAAAGCCAAGACUUGGGGGUCAAGUAACUUCUCCAAUCACAUCUACACCGUUAAUAAAUGCCAGAACCUAUUUCCAAAUUUAUGUGCAUCUGAUUCCAAAAAUCUAUAUCCUACCCCCUACAUUAUUUUAUCCCUAUGCCUCAUUCAGAGCAGUGUGAUGGAGUCUGAGGAUGGGAAUAUAACAAAGGAAGCAAUGUAGGCCUUACAUUUUAAAGUGUUCUGAACUAAUAAGGGAAGAAAGGCAUGUAGACAAUGAGCCAUAUCACGUGACAGAAUAAAAUAUGGGCUUGGCUAGAUAUAAACGACGUACUGAGGAUGACAGAUAAAAGAGCAUUUCAUUGAUAUUUCUGUAAGGGAUAGUAUGUACUCUCUAGUACUUACUAGAUAUGAUGUUAUUGGACCUGAAUGCAAAGAAAGAUAUUGAAUCAAGCUUAAUAGGUUAAGAAUUAAGGGACAACCAUCAUGCACAAAGAAGGGGAAGGGAUUAUAAUGCAUGGACAGAAAUAAAGUUGAAAAAAAUGCUUGCAGUUAGAUCAUGGAAAUUCUUGAAUACAGCCAUAGGCAGUUUGGACUCAGUACUUUGCACGAUGGAGGUCAACAGGAGAUAUUAAUAUUUGGAGAAGGAAGAUAAGUGAUCUGUUGUAUUGAUAUCUAGGGAAAAUCAUUAUUUAAAAAAUAACCAUAGCUUACUUUGAAUAGGUGCUAUAGAGUUUGGGGAAUUAUACAAGUAUCUUUUCCUUCAAAUUCCCAUAUUGUCUCUUAGCUAGAUGGCCUGGAAUUUUCUUCCUUUGUAUUUAAAAUUUGUAAUAAGUAAUCUAAGAAUACAAACUAGAAGUUUUAUUAAUGUGUCUUCUCAUGCAUCACAAACCCAGAAGAAAUGUCAUAAACCUCCACAUCUUCUCUACCUACCUGGGAAGAGCAAUAUUUUAAUAAUGAGGAGUAUGGAAAAAGGUGGAGAAGAGGGCCUAGCUACAAUGGCGUAGGUUCAGAAUCAUGACUGUGGUCUUUAGAAACCCUAAAAGGAAUAAAGGUAGGCAUCCCAGUCCUAGAGAAACUGGAAUAUCAGGCAGGUAGAUAGGUAUCAGACAUUUACAAAAUUCAUACCUUGGAUCCACAGUCUAGAACUUAGGGCAAAAUUUGGAAUAGAAUCCAGAGCUUGACUUCCCUGGUAAUAGAUGACCAGGCCAUGAGAUUAUUUUUCUUCUCACAGGGAAAAACUGGUUACAAAGAAUGAGAUGAGGUUAAGUCUGCUAGCAAAGCAGAAUAGUUCCAGUUUUAUAGUCAGAUAGCCAAGGGAUCAGAAAAUGUGGCUAAUUUAUGCAAUACAAAGAGACAUCACAGGUUGUGUUUGGGGAAGUCAAAGGUCUAUUGGAGUACUUAAAUUUGAGAGAAGGCAAUGAGUAUCAGUUUUUCUAAUAGGAAUUUCUAGUGAAACAACAACAACAACAACAACAACAAAUCGAUAUUAGGUUGUAAAGUAGGAGGUCAAGCAAAGCUCUCAGUAGCAAAUAGAUGUAGCCUUGAUUACUGUCUUUCCCUUUGACUUGAUGUGUUAUGUUGAUCUAGACAGAAAAGCUGUCUGAACCUUUAUUCAUUAAUAUGUGAAAUGGUAAUAAAGAUGACUACUUCAUAAACAGACUAUGAGGAUUUCAAUAAAAUAGUUUACCUGAAAUGAAGAUAAGCUGUCUGUGACAAGCAGGCUCUAAUAUGAUACCCACCUGCUAGUGUUUAUGCCUGUAUGUGAUCCUCUUCCCUUGGUUGCUGGCUGGCUUGACGAUUUGCUUUUAAUUAAUUGAAUGUGGUGAAGUGGCAGGAUAUCACUUCCCUGAUUAGGUUACAUAUGACUGUGGCUUCUCUCUUGCUAGGGAAUUCUUCCUCAAUUGUUUGUUGAAGUUAACUAUUGCAUGAAGAGGCCCAUGUAGCAAAGAACCAAGAACAACCUCCUGUCGGCAGCCAAUGAGGAACUUAGACCCCCGAUGUAACAGCACGCAAGGAAUGGAAUUCUGCCAAUAACUAGAUAAGUUUAGAAAGCAAAUCCUUCCCUGGUUGAGCCUUCUGAUGAGACACCAGUCCUAGCUGACACGUUGAUUACAUCCUGUGGUGGUUAAUGUUGUGUCAACCUGGCUAGACUGUGGUUCUCAGUGGAUUGGCUAAAUAUCAGUCCAGAUGUUGCUGUGAAGGGUUUUUUUUUUAAAUGUGAUUAAGAUUUAAGUCAGUAGACUGAAUAAUUAUCAACAUUCAUAUAAGUAGACUUUGAGUAAAGCAGAUUCUACCCAUAAUGUGGGUGGGCUUCAUGCAAUCAGUUAAAGGCCUUAAGAGCAAAGAAAGACUGAGGUUGACCCCAAAAGAAAGAGUUUUCCUUCAAGAUAGCCACAUAAAAUCCCAGCUUGAGUUUCUAGCCUGUUCAUCUUUGGUAUGUGGACUAAGAUUGCCACAUCAACCCCUGCCAGAACUCCAGACUGUGAGCCUGCCCUACAGAGUUCAGAUUUGCCAGUCCCCAAAAAUCACAUGAGAAAAUUUCUUAAAAUAAAUUUAUCUCUUUUUCUCUUUAAAUAUAAAAGAACUUAAAGCAGAAGAUCUCACUAAGUUAUGCCUGUAUUUCUGAUCCACGAAAAUAAUAAAACAAUAUUUAUGGGCUAUUUUGCCUCUAUAUUUGUGGUAAUUUGUUAUACUGCAGCUGUCCAAUGAGAGAUUUUAAACAACUUGGUUCACAUUACAUAUCCCUUGACUGUUGGGAAGUUCCAUGCCCUGUCUAAGCUUUCUGUAACUUCUUGGUGGUGACAUAUUUACAUUCGGCUACUUACUAUUAUUUGCUCCGAGUUCUGGCCUUUAACAAACUACUCUGAUUUUCAUCUUGGCUCCUUUUGAUUUGUGACAUUCUGUCUGUUUCAAACUAAAUAUAAAACACACCCCCUUCCCUGGGCAUAAUCUCAGAGUCAUUCGUACUGGUUAUUAGUGUGUCUUUAUGGUGCUCUGCCAUCUGAUUUCCCAUUGGUCACUUCUGUCUGUG